GGAUGAACGCUGGCGGCGUGCCUAAUACAUGCAAGUCGAGCGAACAGAUGAGGAGCUUGCUCCUCUGACGUUAGCGGCGGACGGGUGAGUAACACGUGGAUAACCUACCUAUAAGACUGGGAUAACUUCGGGAAACCGGAGCUAAUACCGGAUAAUAUAUUGAACCGCAUGGUUCAAUAGUGAAAGACGGUUUUGCUUUCACUUAUAGAUGGAUCCGCGCCGCAUUAGCUAGUUGGUAAGGUAACGGCUUACCAAGGCGACGAUGCGUAGCCGACCUGAGAGGGUGAUCGGCCACACUGGAACUGAGACACGGUCCAGACUCCUACGGGAGGCAGCAGUAGGGAAUCUUCCGCAAAGGGCGAAAGCCUGACGGAGCAACGCCGCGUGAGUGAUGAAGGUCUUCGGAUCGUAAAACUCUGUUAUUAGGGAAGAACAAAUGUGUAAGUAACUAUGCACGUCUUGACGGUACCUAAUCAGAAAGCCACGGCUAACUACGUG
rnacentral:rRNA from 1 species